rnacentral:rRNA from 1 species
UGGGGAAUAUUGCACAAUGGGCGCAAGCCUGAUGCAGUCAUGCCGCGUGUAUGAAGAAGGCCUUCGGGUUGUAAAGUACUUUCAGCGAGGAGGAAGGCAUUGUGGUUAAUAACCGCAGUGAUUGACGUUACUCGCAGAAGAAGCACCGGCUAACUCCGUGCCAGCAGCCGCGGUAAUACGGAGGGUGCAAGCGUUAAUCGGAAUUACUGGGCGUAAAGCGCACGCAGGCGGUCUGUCAAGUCGGAUGUGAAAUCCCCGGGCUCAACCUGGGAACUGCAUCCGAAACUGGCAGGCUAGAGUCUUGUAGAGGGGGGUAGAAUUCCAGGUGUAGCGGUGAAAUGCGUAGAGAUCUGGAGGAAUACCGGUGGCGAAGGCGGCCCCCUGGACAAAGACUGACGCUCAGGUGCGAAAGCGUGGGGAGCAAACA